rnacentral:rRNA from 1 species
ACUCUUUGUGCUUGCCGUCGACACAUUGGGGCGCCUCUUCCGUCGCGCGACCGAGCUCAAAUCCUGCAGCAACUACACCCUCGCCGUGCACUCCCCGUCCUCUCGUUGUACGCGGACGAUGUCAUACUCUUCUGCCACCCCACGACGCACGACACACUCGCCGUCCGAGAAAUCCUGCAGCUAUUUGGCCGAGCGUCAGGCCUUCGGGUCAACUUCCUGAAGAGCACGGCUACGAUGAUCCGAUGCGACGGCGACAUGGCUGCCCCGGCCAUCGCCAACCUUGGCUGCCCAAUCGCGGCGCUGCCCAUCACCUACCUGGGGAUCCUACUCACCCUUGGACGCCCAUCCGCUGCACAACUGCAGCCCCUAGUCGACAAGGCCGCU